rnacentral:rRNA from 1 species
AGUGAACGCUGGCGGUAGGCCUAACACAUGCAAGUCGAACGGCAGCACAGUAAGAGCUUGCUCUUACGGGUGGCGAGUGGCGGACGGGUGAGGAAUACAUCGGAAUCUACUUUUUCGUGGGGGAUAACGUAGGGAAACUUACGCUAAUACCGCAUACGGCCUACGGGUGAAAGCAGGGGAUCUUCGGACCUUGCGCGAUUGAAUGAGCCGAUGUCGGAUUAGCUAGUUGGCGGGGUAAAGGCCCACCAAGGCGACGAUCCGUAGCUGGUCUGAGAGGAUGAUCAGCCACACUGGAACUGAGACACGGUCCAGACUCCUACGGGAGGCAGCAGUGGGGAAUAUUGGACAAUGGGCGCAAGCCUGAUCCAGCCAUACCGCGUGGGUGAAGAAGGCCUUCGGGUUGUAAAGCCCUUUUGUUGGGAAAGAAAAGCAGCAGGUUAAUACCCCGCUGUUCUGACGGUACCCAAAGCAUAAGCACCGGCUAACUUCGUG